rnacentral:rRNA from 1 species
GAUGAACGCUAGCGGCAGGCCUAACACAUGCAAGUCGAGGGGUAGAGUUCUUCGGGACUUGAGACCGGCGCACGGGUGCGUAACGCGUAUGCAAUCUACCUUAUACAGGGGAAUAGCCCAGAGAAAUUUGGAUUAAUGCCCCAUAGUGUUAUCGAAUCGCAUGGUUUGAUAACUAAAGUUCCAACGGUAUAAGAUGAGCAUGCGUCCAUUAGUUAGUUGGUAAGGUAACGGCUUACCAAGACAAUGAUGGGUAGGGUCCUGAGAGGGAGAUCCCCCANACUGGUACUGAGACACGGACCAGACUCCUACGGGAGCAGCAGUGAGGAAUAUUGGUCAAAUGGGGCGCAAGCCUGAACCAGCCAUGCCGCGUGCAGGAAGACGGUCCUA